AUGUCUACGGUGAGCUGCGCCUACCUCGACCAGAGGCUCGCUGCCGCCAACCGCUGCUCCGAAGAGGCUGCCAUGGCCGGAGCCAAGGCCGCGGCUGUCGCCACCAUCGCCGCCGCAGUCCCCACCGCAAGUACACGUUCUUGCAAGCACCCCCAAGAUCCAUCCAACAAUCAUGCAUCUCACUGUCUUCUUCCUCCGUGCCUUUCUCUGCAGCUGGCGAGCGUGAGGAUGCUGCCGUGGGCGAGGGCGCACCUGAACCCGACCGGGCAGGCCCUGAUCAUCUCCACCGUCGCCGGGAUGGCCUACUUCAUCGUCGCUGACAAGACCAUCCUCUCCAUGGCCAGGAAGCACUCCUUCCAGGAUGCGCCGGAGCACCUCAAGAACACCUCCUUCCACUAG
rnacentral:rRNA from 1 species